rnacentral:rRNA from 1 species
CUACGUGCCAGCAGCCGCGGUAAUACGUAGGUCCCGAGCGUUGUCCGGAUUUAUUGGGCGUAAAGCGAGCGCAGGCGGUUAGAUAAGUCUGAAGUUAAAGGCUGUGGCUUAACCAUAGUACGCUUUGGAAACUGUUUAACUUGAGUGCAAGAGGGGAGAGUGGAAUUCCAAGUGUAGGGGUGGAAUCUGUAGAUAUUUGGAAGAACACCGGUGGCGAAGGCGGGUUUCUAGCCAAUGAUUGACGCUAAGGUGCGAAGGUGCGGGGAGCAAACAGGAUUAGAUACCCUGGUAGUCCGCACAGUAAACGAUGUACACUAGGUGUUGGGGUAAGACUCAGUGCCGCAAGCAAACGCAAUAAGUGUACCGCCUGGGGAGUAUGCCCGCAAGGGUGAAACUCAAAGGAAUUGACGGGGGCCCACACAAGCGGUGGAGCAUGUGGUUUAAUUCGAUGAUACGCGAGGAACCUUACCUGGGUUUGACAUCAAGAGGGAUACUAUAGAGAUA